AACUCCGUGCCAGCAGCCGCGGUAAUACGGGGGAGGCAAGCGUUAUCCGGAAUUAUUGGGCGUAAAGCGUCCGCAGGUGGUCAGCCAAGUCUGCCGUCAAAUCAGGUUGCUUAACGACCUAAAGGCGGUGGAAACUGGCAGACUAGAGAGCAGUAGGGGUAGCAGGAAUUCCCAGUGUAGCGGUGAAAUGCGUAGAGAUUGGGAAGAACAUCGGUGGCGAAAGCGUGCUACUGGGCUGUAUCUGACACUCAGGGACGAAAGCUAGGGGAGCGAAAGGGAUUAGAUA
rnacentral:rRNA from 1 species